rnacentral:rRNA from 1 species
GACAGAGGAUGCAAGCGUUAUCCGGAAUGAUUGGGCGUAAAGCGUCUGUAGGUGGCUUUUUAAGUCCGCCGUCAAAUCCCAGGGCUCAACCCUGGACAGGCGGUGGAAACUACCAAGCUGGAGUACGGUAGGGGCAGAGGGAAUUUCCGGUGGAGCGGUGAAAUGCGUAGAUAUCGUGAGGAAGGCCAGUGGCGAAGGCGAUUCUCUGGACAGUACCUGACGCUGAGGCACGAAGGCUGGGGGAGCGAACAGG